rnacentral:rRNA from 1 species
GAUGAACGCUAGCGGCAGGCCUAAUACAUGCAAGUCGAACGAUAUUUUCCAGCUUGCUGGGAAAGAAAGUGGCGCACGGGUGCGUAACGCGUAUGCAACCUACCUUUAUCAGGGGGAUAGCCCGGAGAAAUCCGGAUUAAUACCGCAUAAAAUCACAGAACGGCAUUGUUCAAUGAUCAAACAUUUAGGGGAUAAAGAUGGGCAUGCGUGUCAUUAGCUAGUUGGCGGGGUAACGGCCCACCAAGGCGACGAUGACUAGGGGAUCUGAGAGGAUGGCCCCCCACACUGGUACUGAGACACGGACCAGACUCCUACGGGAGGCAGCAGUAAGGAAUAUUGGUCAAUGGAGGCAACUCUGAACCAGCCAUGCCGCGUGCAGGAAGACUGCCCUAUUGGGUUGUAAACUGCUUUUAUCCGGGAAUAAACCUCCGAUCGUGAUCGGAGCUGAAUGUACCGGAAGAAUAAGGAUCGGCUAACUCCGUGCCAGCAGCCGCCGUAA